rnacentral:tRNA from 1 species
GUAGUUUUAGUUUAUUAAAAAUGGUGAUUUGUCUAGUCAUUGAUGAUCUUACUUGAUCAAAUUACU